rnacentral:rRNA from 1 species
UGGGGAAUUUUGGACAAUGGACGCAAGUCUGAUCCAGCCAUGCCGCGUGCGGGAAGAAGGCCUUCGGGUUGUAAACCGCUUUUGUCAGGGAAGAAACGAGUUUCUCUAAUACAGAGACUUAAUGACGGUACCUGAAGAAUAAGCACCGGCUAACUACGUGCCAGCAGCCGCGGUAAUACGUAGGGUGCGAGCGUUAAUCGGAAUUACUGGGCGUAAAGCGUGCGCAGGCGGUUAUGUAAGACAGAUGUGAAAUCCCCGGGCUCAACCUGGGAACUGCAUUUGUGACUGCAUAGCUGGAGUGCGGCAGAGGGGGAUGGAAUUCCGCGUGUAGCAGUGGAAUGCGUAGAUAUGCGGAGGAACACCGAUGGCGAAGGCAAUCCCCUGGGCCUGCAAUGACGCUCAUGCACGAAAGCGUGGGGAGCAAACA